rnacentral:lncRNA from 1 species
GCAAUUCCUCGACAUAUUUUCCGUAUGCAAAGUGACCUCAGUGUGACCCAUCUCGUAAAAAUUCGGUGAUCGCAAUACGCAUGGAUGUCUUUAAAAUAAACUAUAAUUAUCUGAUUGUACAUGUUAAACACGUGCUUACUAUCCAUGCUUUUUGUUGAUUGUUGACAAACAGGUGACAAUCGUUUAACCUCGGCCUCAAAACACGAACUUUAAUUACCUGCCAUAUUUUCACAACAACACUGACCGA